rnacentral:rRNA from 1 species
UAGGAGACUGCCGGUGACAAACCGGAGGAAGGUGGGGAUGACGUCAAGUCAUCAUGGCCCUUACGGCCUGGGCUACACACGUGCUACAAUGGUCGGUACAAAGGGUUGCCAAGCCGCGAGGUGGAGCUAAUCCCAUAAAACCGAUCGUAGUCCGGAUCGCAGUCCGCAACUCGACUGCGUGAAGUCGGAAUCGCUAGUAAUCGUGAAUCAGAAUGUCACGGUGAAUACGUUCCCGGGCCUU